rnacentral:rRNA from 1 species
GACAGAGGUGCAAACGUUGUUCGGAAUUACUGGGCGUAAAGCGCGUGUAGGCUGCUUCGCAAGUCGGAUGUGAAAGCCCUGGGCUCAACCCAGGAAGUGCAUUCGAAACUGCAAAGCUGGAGUCCUGGAGAGGAAGGCGGAAUUCUCGGUGUAGAGGUGAAAUUCGUAGAUAUCGAGAGGAACACCGGUGGCGAAGGCGGCCUUCUGGACAGUGACGUGACGCUGAGACGCGAAAGCGUGGGGAGCAAACAGGG